UGCACUGACUGUGUAAAGCAAGACUACACAGUCAUCCAAUAGGAAUGUGCCACAUCAUUUACUCAUACGUUGUGUUAUUUAAUUUAUAAAAAAAUCCUAAAAUUAAUUUUGCUAUUUUUCCUUCGUGCCUCAACAUCAGUUCCCUGUUCUCCUUCCUUUUCACAACCGCUCUGUACUUGAUUCUCGACAAACGAAUCUGCAACUCUCUGUUGCAUCCUUCCGUUUCUUAUUGAAGGUUUGUGGAAUAUCGCUAAUCUCCACUCUCUUCACAAUCUUUGUUUUUUGGUUAGUCAUAUCCACGUAUCAAAUUCCCAUCGUUCAGGUCUUCACAGUUACUCAUCUAUUAUGGUCUUUUUCAUCGUUAUACUUGUUUAAGUUUUUUGUACAUCUAUUCCUCAUAAUCAUGUACUAUUUUCCCCAAGAAGUUCACAACAUCUUCGAGUACAUAGAAAGAAAACCCCAGUGCAAAAAAAAAAAAAACUUAUUGAUGUGCUUCAUGAUUCUGGUAUAGGCCCUAGUAAAAUAGCAUCAGUGUUAUGUACUGAGAGUGGUGGUGUUGAUAAUGUUGGAUUUAGCCAACAAGAUGUUAUUAAUUAUUUAAGUGUAAAGAGACAAAAACAAUUAGAAAAUGGAGAUGCUCACUUGAUGUUAUCGUACUUUAAGAAUUGUCAGUUGAAGAAUCCUGGUUUUUUUUAUGCAUUUCAAAUGGACGCAGAAGGUAAAUUAGCAAAUUGCUUUUGGGUUGAUUCAAGGUCUAGAAUGGCUUACAAAUAUUUUGGUGAUGUGGUGACUUUUGAUCCAACAUACUUAACAAAUAAAUACCUAAUGCCCUUUGUUCCAUUCACUGGAGUUAAUCAUCACCAACAGUCUAUACUUUUUGGUUGUGCUUUGUUAUGGGAUGAAACUGAAGAGAGUUUUGUUUGGUUGCUACGUACUUGGUUAGAAGCAAUGGAUGGAGUUAGUCCUAAAACUAUUAUCACUGAUUAAGACACUUCUAUUUCUAAUGCAGUUGCAAAGGUUUUUCCAAAGGUGAAUCAUCAUUAUUGUAUGUGGCAUAUCGAGAAUAAAGUUCCAGAGUACUUGAACCAAAUCUAUCAUGAACAUGGCGAGUUUAAAAAUCAAUUUCACAAGUGCAUUCACCAAACUAUCACUUAUGAUGACUUUGAUUCUGAUUUCGGGAGCAAUGAUAAAUAAGUACGAGUUGCAAGAUAACAAAUGGCUAAAGAAUAUCUACUCCAUUCGAGAAAAAUGGGUUCCUUCUUAUGUACGUCGGAGUUUUUGUGCUGGAAUGUCCACCACCCAAAGGAGUGAAAGUAUGAAUAAAUUUUUUAAGGGCUUUUUGAAUUCAAGUACUCCAUUGAGCAAGUUUGUGAUACAGUAUGAGAAGGCUCUUGACACACAUUAUAACAAGCAAAGAGAGAAGAAUGUCAAGACAAGGAAUUCAAAACCACUUUUGCGUACUUUAUAUCCCAUGGAAUAAGAGGCUUUAAAAAUUUAUACAAGAAAAGUGUUCAGGAUAUUUCAGGAUGAGUUGGUUGGGUCCCAAAUAUUUAUCGCAGAGAAAGUUAAGUUUUUUGAUGAAGUUUCCACAUACAAGAUUCAUGAAAUUUACAAAGAAAAAACCUAACUGUCAUGUGACUUUUCAGAUCAUUUCAAAAGAACCAAAAUGUAGUUGUCGCAUGUUUGACUUUGUGGGAAUUCUCUAUAGACAUGUAUUAAAUGUAUUCAUAAAGGAAAAUGUCUAUUCUCUCCCUUCUCAAUAUGUUCUAAGCCGAUGGACCAUAAAUGCUAAGAAAGAAAAAAGUAAAGGAGUUGCAAUUGAAGACCUCGAGGAAGGCAGAAACAGAGCUUCAAGUACUUCAUUAUUUAAUAGUAUUAUGGUUGAGUCUCUUGAACUAUCUGAAAGAGGUUCACGCUCAGAAAAGCAUCAUGGUAUUGCAAUUCAAGCUUUGCAAAAGGCAAUCACAAAACUUGAUCAAUUGGAUCUUGAAGAACCAAAUGAAAAGUUUGAUAAAUCGGCAUUUGAAGUUAUGCCUAAAGUCUCCGAUGACCAGACCAUAAACUUGUGUGAUCCUCCACGUGCGGUCCCUAAAGGUCGUCCAUGCACUUUACGAAUGCAAAGCAGUUUGGAAUUGCACAAGAAAAAUUCAAUCAGUUGUAGUUAUUGCAAUGGAAAAGGCCACAACAAACGUAGAUGUCCAAGUUUAAAACAUGGAAGGUGUGAUAUCAUCAAUGGUCAACUUUCAAAUUCCAAUGUUAAAGCUUCUAGUUUGGUUGAUUAAGAGACCUGUUUUGCCAAUAAGGGAUAAUUUUACCGAAUUCAAAGGUAGUGGAUUUCUCUGAUGUGAUUCUAGGCUUUGGAUGCACUUCUGGCGUGAUUUCAGGUUUUGGAUGUGGUCCUGGUGUGAUUUUCCAUCUAUUUUUCUGGUGGGAAUUUCCCAGCUUUUGUACCUCUGGUGCGGCUGUGCGGGUCUGAUUUUGCAACUUUUCAGAUUGUGUUUACUAGGAGGGGAUCUGUUCGGCUUUGAUAUUUGAUUUGUAGGAGUUACUAUUUUAGUUUCAGCUAGUUGACAGUUGCUUUUAUUGUUUUUCUUUUUAGGCUAUCUUUUGUUUCCUCUUGUAACAUUUUACUUUAAUAUAAGGAGAUGUUGUUUGCUGAAUGUUAUUGCUGCUACAAGAAGAAAUAACACUGA